rnacentral:rRNA from 2 species
UACGGGGGGGGCAAGCGUUGUUCGGAAUUACUGGGCGUAAAGGGCGCGUAGGCGGUUCGCUAAGUCGGAUGUGAAAACUCUGGGCUCAACCCAGAGCCUGCAUCCGAAACUGGCGGGCUAGAGUUCUGGAGGGGGUAGCGGAAUUCCUGGUGUAGCGGUGAAAUGCGUAGAUAUCAGGAGGAACACCGGUGGCGAAGGCGGCUACCUGGACAGAAACUGACGCUGAGGCGCGAAAGCUAGGGGAGCAAACAGG